rnacentral:rRNA from 1 species
UACGUAGGUGGCAAGCGUUGUCCGGAAUCACUGGGCGUAAGCGCGCGCAGGCGGCGAUCUACGUCUGGGGUGAAAGCCCGGAGCUCAACUCCGGGACUGCCUUGGAUACGGGAUCGCUUGAGGAUUGGAGAGGCAAGGGGAAUUCCACGUGUAGCGGUGAAAUGCGUAGAUAUGUGGAGGAACACCUGUGGCGAAGGCGGCCUGCUGGCAGUUGCUGACACUGAGGCGCGACAGCGUGGGAGCAACAGGAU